UGCGGUUAAAAAGCUCGUAGUCGGAGGUGUGUCUCGGACGGUCGGUUCGCCGCUUGUCGGUGCUCAACUGGCCGGUCCGGACGUCCUGCCGGUGGGGCUGUAAAAGGCUCCGUUAUCCUUCUUUGGUCCUCUUCAUUGAGUGCCUUGGUGGGCCGGCACGUUUACUUUGAACAAAUUAGAGUGCUCAAAGCAGGCCGUUGGUCGCCUGAAUACUGUGUGCAUGGAAUAAUAGAAUAGGACCUCGGUUCCAUUUUGUUGGUUUUCAGAACUCGAGGUAAUGAUUAAUAGGGACGGACGGGGGCAUUCGUAUUGCGACGUUAGAGGUGAAAUUCUUGGAUCGUCGCAAGACGAACCGAUGCGAAAGCAUUUGCCAAGAACGUUUUCGUUGAUCAAGAACGAAAGUUAGAGGUUCGAAGGCGAUCAGAUACCGCCCUAGUUCUAACCAUAAACGAUGCCAGCUAGCCAUCCGCCGAAGUUCCUUAUAUGACUCGGCGGGCAGCUUCCGGGAAACCAAAGCUCUUGGGUUCCGGGGGAAGUAUGGUUGCAAAGCUCAAACUUAAAGGAAU
rnacentral:rRNA from 1 species